rnacentral:lncRNA from 1 species
UCUUCAUUGACUUCCCAAUCCAAGAAAGCAGGGUUCCUCACACUGUCAAUAAGAACUUCAACCAUUCCAGGGACAUAGGUUUUCAGAGCAUCAAUAGUGUAACUCAUUUGCUCCCGAGACGCAGACGCCGAGGUGUUGCCUCCAAUAGCUUCGAUUUCCCUAACAAGACGUAGAUGGCUUCUGUUCGUCGUGCUCUUGAAAGCCAUCCUCUCAAGCAAAUGCGUUGCUCCAUGGAAAUAAGGCGCCUCGUAGAUAGAACCACAAUCAACAUACAAACCAAUGGAAGCUGCUGGAUUCUAACACACCAAGAUAAUAACUUCGUUCAGUUCAUUUACCGCAUUUUAAAAGAUUCUAUCUUCAGAGAAGUAAACAUAAGAUUUACUUACGGGAGACAUCUCGGAGGCGAUUUUGAGACCAUUUGGGAGAGUAGUGAUCUUAAGUUUGCUUGGCUCAACAAGGUCAGCAAGUGGUGGAGGAAGAGACACACCCUGUAGUGGCAUGUCCAAUGAAUUAAGCGAAGAAGAUGAUCCACCAGUCAACCAGCUGAAGAAACCUGGAGAAGAAGAAGAAGAACUAGUCGCAACGGCACUUGAACUUGCAUAACGCGCCGGUCUCAAACUCCGGCUAAGAGAUCCCUAUCACAAAACAAGAAUAUGAUUCUUCAAUCGAUGAGUCGCAAAUCCAUUUCUAGUUAGAUUGACUUCAGAAACUCGUAAACCUAAGCAGUAAUAACAGUCCCAUCAUCGCGGGUAAUUCAAUCCAGAUCUAAAGAUUUUCCGAGAACGUAGGCGAAAUCAGGACGAAUCUAUUCACUACGCGAAGGUUCCAGACGCUUACAAGAGAACAUCAAUCGUGAAACGAUCAAAGGCUAAGGUAACAAACCUUGAGAGCCCUGGCUCGUGAAGCUGCCGUGCGAUACAUGGCGACUGUGGAAACCCUAAAUCGGAAGGGAAGGGAAGAGAUGAAUUGAGAAGGUGAGAGAGACUGCGAGUUUUGCUGCUUACGUAUUGCUUAUCAUAGGCCCAAAUGUUUAUAUGGGGUUGGCCCAUCAGAUGAAUUAGUUCACGGAGCCGACUAUAUCAGAAUAAGAAUUUAAAAAAAAAAAAAGUCUGAAGAAAGAAAAAAUUGUGGCUGUUGGAAUAUUUGAGAAAGAGGCUUAAAACAAACAUUGAAUGCAGUGAAGAGUCUUUAUCGUUGAGAGAGACUUGCCUAACUAUUCAAAGCAGCAAUAUGAGACUCGGUUUACUUUUUCUGUUUGCCCCAACCCCAAGAAUGUGGAGGAAGCACCCCGCUUUGAAAUAAUUUGUGGAUUCUGCAGUGUUUUAGUUCUUUUUUUGUGAAGGGCAGUGUUACUUGCUCAACCCUAUCCUACCAACAUAAUUAACCAGACUUAGAAUCCCGAAACUUCCGAUUUUUACUGUUCAUCCUCGUCCCCACAGCCUUCCAUUGCCUCCUCCUGAUCGAUCCUCACGAGACACGCCUUGUCAAAAGCUUGAUCGUCUCGUUCCUUCAAUGGCUUGGGUGUAAAACGCCAUCUUCCCGGCAAGAUCUUGAUUCACAUCCACAACACCCGCCCCGCUCCGCGAUCAACAUCAACCUUAACUGUAAGCUAAUCACUUCACUUCCAUAAUCAUGUCUUGAUGUUUAGCACUCAGAAAUGAAAUGACAUCACAGUAACAAUUAUACCACUGCAUGAAGUUGUGAGAACGUAGUACAAAAAUUAUUUAUUGUAGAGAGACGGUCAGGAAAAGUCCGCCAUUUUAACUGUAGGUGGAAACAAAAAAAUCCAUUUAAUAAAAAUAGGACCAACUAUAAAACAAAAAAUUAGAACUGGCUGGGUCUUUUUCUUCUUGUCCCAAAGAUCUUUAUUUUACAAGUCCCAAAAUAUCGUUUGAUUUUUCUAGCAAAUGUUUGCUGCUUCAACAAAAUUUGCUGCUUACAGUGUCGUAGCUUGGAACAGACAACACUGCCAAACAAAAAAAGAGCCAGACACAAUAUUAAGGACACAAGAUCAUUGUUUUAUUAUACCUCUGCAAGUGAAAAGGUAUAUGAAACGUAUAAGUUAAAAGAGAAAUGUUUAUUACCCUCUCCGAAGGAACCCAUUGUCAAAGGCUUAGAAAUAAUCUUGCUGGUGAAAUCAGUAAUGUCCUUCAACGUAAGUCCGUCUACUGUCUUCAAAAAUUGCUCAACUGGCUUCCUGCAAUAUUUUCAAUAUAAAAACAUUCAGAAUAAAGUGAAUUUCUUGAAGGUUUUAUAUUUAAAAUGAAAUUUUGAUGUGUACCUCUCUCCGUAUGUAAGUAUCUGCCUGCCAAUGUCUUCUGCUGCAAUCAUCUGCAUAUGACACGCGUUAACUCGUUAGUAACAUCUAUUUGAAAUCGAAUAAAUCGGUUUCAUCGUAAAGUGAGAGAGUGAAAGAAUACCCGAGAUUCCAAAUUCAUCAGAACUGCAGAUUUUGUGGCUGCCUUGGCACGAUCAAGAUGCUUCUGGUUAACUGUCCAAACACAUAAACACAAGGAAAAUGUUUCAUACAUGUAAAGUAUUGUAUCCACUUUUAAGUGACAGCAAGGAAGAAACAAACUGUAAACCUUUUCCUCCGGCAACAUCUUUCAGUUCUUUAGCUGCUAAUUCAAUCGCUUUUGCAGCGAACUCAGGACUCUGCAACCAUAGAUGUAAAUCAUAUCACUAUGUUAACCAUAAUACGUAUCAAGGAAGCUAACGCAAACUGAACAAUACCCACACAAAUUGGUAAUAUUCCUUUAAUACCAAAUCUAUCAUCAAUGGGAAAAAGGUGGAUGAUUGAUGGAAGGAAAAACACAGUAAGCAAAAUCCUGAUUUUGCUGAACUCACCGAGCAACCAUAGAUUCCAAACAAUCCGGUGUUGUUAAAGAUGCUAGUGAAUGCAGUGCAUGACUGAACUUGCUGAUAUUCGUUUAGAAUACGGAGAUCUGUAACCAGACACAUGAACUUGUAUCACUACUACUGAUCCUCUAGCAGAGCGUGAUAAUUUAUAAUGAACUAGUUCAAGAAACAGCAAAAAAAAAAAAAAAAACUUCUAAGCCAUAAAAUACACAAGAUUUGACUUACAUAGCCAUGAGUGCAUUCCUUUGCCAGGGCCUCCAGCUGAGAAUGAGCCGCCUCCUCCCAUGAGCAUCUAAUAGCAAAUAUAUUUAAAUUACAUAUCAGCCUUUCCUAAGAAAUAGGAUUUGAUUGAAACAAGUGAAAGUAUUAACACGAGGAAAAAUUAAACAUUCAAUUUAGGCACCUGGAGAACAGUGGCAAUGACUGCUUCUUUCUCGUUAUUCCAGCCAGGCACCUCAAAAGCAAGCGCAAAGUGUGUAGCCUGAAGAAGACCAAAAAGCUCAAUUAGAGUUGUAACAUAAAAACAAUUUCAUCUCGAACACACUUGUUUAUUACUCCAACGACAGUAAAUAUGUAAUAGAUACCUCUCCACCAGUAUGUUGGCGAAAAUCUCCACCAGUAUAUUGAGAUAUCGGCUCCCCUUGGCGCGGUACAUUAGGAAGGUCAGAAGUUAAUGGCUCAACAACUUGUAAAAGUUCCUCGUGUUCAACUCCACUUGCCGCCAGUACCAUACGUGCAGCAGUGAAAUUCUCCUGAAACCCCCAGAUCAAAUGAUUAAACAAUUGUAAUCAGAGGUGUAGAUGGUUCUCAAAAGCUGAAUGCUGCCUUACAGUCAUAAACUCCUCCAAGAGUUCCCCAUUCAAUCUGUCCAAAGCAGACUCAUGAGCAUACAGAGGAUUUGCCAAUGCACCAGAAUAACCAGCAGAGUGAACGGCCUCCGUGAGGAGUCCCAUAGGGUUCUUUGCAAGCUCUGCUAUCUCUACCUUCAUCUUACGUAGCUACGAAUCAACACAAGAACAAUAAGUCACAUAAAUGUAUUCACCAGGGUUAUCAAAAUAACAACAAAGGAAAAAAAAAGAGAUUAAGAAAUUUACCUCUUCAUUGACUUCCCAAUCCAAGAAAGCAGGGUUCCUCACACUGUCAAUAAGAACUUCAACCAUUCCAGGGACAUAGGUUUUCAGAGCAUCAAUAGUGUAACUCAUUUGCUCCCGAGACGCAGACGCCGAGGUGUUGCCUCCAAUAGCUUCGAUUUCCCUAACAAGACGUAGAUGGCUUCUGUUCGUCGUGCUCUUGAAAGCCAUCCUUUCAAGCAAAUGCGUUGCUCCAUGGAAAUAAGGAGCCUCAUAGAUAGAACCACAAUCAACAUACAAACCA